rnacentral:rRNA from 1 species
GAUGAACGCUGGCGGCAUGCCUUACACAUGCAAGUCGAACGGCAGCACGGGGGCAACCCUGGUGGCGAGUGGCGAACGGGUGAGUAAUACAUCGGAACGUGCCCUGAAGUGGGGGAUAACGUAGCGAAAGUUACGCUAAUACCGCAUAUUCUGUGAGCAGGAAAGCAGGGGAUCGCAAGACCUUGUGCUUUAGGAGCGGCCGAUGUCGGAUUAGCUAGUUGGUGAGGUAAAGGCUCACCAAGGCGACGAUCCGUAGCGGGUCUGAGAGGAUGAUCCGCCACACUGGGACUGAGACACGGCCCAGACUCCUACGGGAGGCAGCAGUGGGGAAUUUUGGACAAUGGGCGCAAGCCUGAUCCAGCCAUGCCGCGUGAGUGAAGAAGGCCUC